UUAACCACUUAGCUUGUCUUCUUGUUAAUAAAGAUAUGACAUUCAAGACUAAAAUGGCUGCCCCCUUGGAGGAUGUGUAAAAAAAUUGUGGUCAGGCGAAAACGUUAUCUGGGUUUUUUUUUUAAUCUGUGACUUGUAGAGCUACCAGACAAGGCAAUGCCAGCUUCAAUAAGCAGUCUGCAGCAAAUGGCCAUCUUUAUGACCAUAGUGACAGGAGGGAGUUGCUCCAUGAUGUAUUACCUGAUGCAGAACUACACAUGCUGACGCAGCUACCCACCUGAACCUCUUCAGCAUGCUCUUUAUUGAACCUAAAAAAUUUUGCCAGGUCUGAUUACUAUCGCUUGGCGAUGGACCAGCUCAGGACUCACGAGUCAGCCAUGGGGUCCCUGGGGGCGCCACCUCUGCAGGCCCACAGCAUCCGACUCACUGACCGACACAACAGGGUGGACAAGGUCAGCGCAAAGAUCAAAAUUCCAGUGUCUGGCACGAAAUCUUCAGGCUAUCUCUACACUUCCUCAACUAAAGACACCUUUUUGAACAAGUGGUGUCUGCAGGAGGCUGUACUGCAUCUCCACAAUGGCCAAAGGAUUGCAGUGUUUGAGACUGAGAAGGCUGAACCAGGGGAUAUGGAUUUUGAGAACCCAUCAACAGGCGCCUCAUUUUAAUGUAUGAAGCAUCAUACUGCUCUUCACGAGUUGUGCUACAGUACAAGGGAAAGCAUGGCUGCUCCCUGUGCACUCAGGGAGUGUUCCCCCAGGACAUGCUGCAGCUCCGCAGCAGUAUUUUAACACUGCUUCUGUUCUGCUGGGGUCUACGACAAGGUUUCACUGUAAUCUCCUCAUUGGGAAUCUUGUACUGUACAUUGGCAGUGGUGUAACUAACCUUAACAAGAUUCAGUCCAAGCAAUGUAAUUUGGUCUGACAUUUAAAUGAAAAAAUGUAUCAUUGCCAAGUUUAACUUAAUAAGGGUACUCCAAAACUCAAGACUGUCAGUUAUCCUUCAAAAUAUACUACGCUAACUACAGUAUUGGUUUUAGCUAUUCUGUAUGAAAGAAGCAUGUUUGGCAAAAACAUGUUAAGAUAUGUUUUAUUUAUAGAAUUCUAUACACCUUUUUACAUUUUCUGCCAGUAAAAAUACAACAGGUACAGGAAGGAAGAGAAACACCAUCAGUUAGAGCAAAGACGUUAAUGAAUUUUAAACUAACCAUGGUUGUAGGCACUGCUUCGUCUACCACAUAUAAGUGUUGCAAUUCUCAAGAACUUCAGUUUGGUAAAGUUUUUAGAUUCAGAGAAACAGAUGUAAUUUAUUAACAGAAGAAAAUGAUAAUGUAAAACAUUACCACAAUACUAGUAAACAUCUAUGAAUGUCAUCAAACAUUGAGGAUAAAAUUAUGUUUCAAAAGUUUCUUCAUGUUUAUUUGUGGUUCAUGCUAAGAUUGUGAGUUUUAAGAACACUAAAUUUCUUGCCUCACUAGAUGUUUUGUUGCAAUGACUUUUGAUUUGUCUGCAAUUGUGGAUCAGGUCUGUCUGCCUUUCCAGUCAUGAUGUUAUGAAGAAGAAUGAGCUGCACUCUGAUGUACUGUACAGUAACAUCCUUGAGAAGGGGAGAACUGUUGUAAAGGUUAUCACAGCAUUCCCAACAGAUGGACCCUGAAGUUUAAUACUCACUAAAUAUACCUUGUUCGUCAACCUUUGGCUUUUUCGCUCCACUUUACUUCUUUAGCUUUUGAGCCAGUUGUUUGUUUUUUUGCAUGCAUUUCAAAAAGAAAAACAAAACUGUCACAGGAAUCCAAGGAUUACUCAUGUACCAAAUUAGUACAAGCUGUGAUCUGCUGAAAACCGAUUAAAGUGAAAUCUUUUUGUUUUUAUCAGAAAAAAACUGUGAUGUUUGAGUGCAGCUGUUCGAUUGUACUUUUCACAUUGCAUAGCAAGCAAUCUCCUGGCUUUUCCUUGAACCACAGUACUAUUUUUCAUGUCAGCUAUUUUACCGAUCUAUUAAACCAUUUUGCGUUUCUGUUAUCUAA